GAGUUUGAUCCUGGCUCAGAGCGAACGCUGGCGGUAUGCUUAACACAUGCAAGUCGAGCGAGAAAAUGACUUCGGUCAUGAGUACAGCGGCGGACGGGUGAGUAAUACAUGGAUAAUCUGCCUUUAGGACCGGGACAACCCAGGGAAACUUGAGCUAAUACCGGAUAAGACCACAGAAUCUCCGGAUUCAGUGGUAAAAGGUGGCCUUCGGGCUAUCACCUAUAGAUGAGUCCAUGUCCCAUCAGGUAGUUGGUGAGGUAACGGCCCACCAAGCCGAAGACGGGUAGCCGACCUUAGCGGGUGAUCGGCCACACGGGGACUGAGACACGGCCCCGACUCCUACGGGAGGCAGCAGUGGGGAAUAUUGGACAAUGGGCGCAAGCCUGAUCCAGCAAUACCGCGUGAGGGAUGAAGGCUUUCGAGUCGUAAACCUCUGUCAGUUGGAACGAUGGGUCUGUAGGUUAAUACCCUGCAGACUUGACGGUACCUUCAAAGGAAGCCCCGGCUAACUCCGUGCCAGCAGCCGCGGUAAUAAGGGCGA
rnacentral:rRNA from 1 species